rnacentral:rRNA from 1 species
GACGAACGCUGGCGGCGUGCCUAAUACAUGCAAGUAGAACGCUGAAGAGAGGAGCUUGCUCUUCUUGAAUGAGUUGCGAACGGGUGAGUAACGCGUAGGUAACCUGCCUGGUAGCGGGGGAUAACUAUUGGAAACGAUAGCUAAUACCGCAUAAAAUUGAUUAUUGCAUGAUAAUUAAUUGAAAGAUGCAAUUGCAUCACUACCAGAUGGACCUGCGUUGUAUUAGCUAGUUGGUGAGGUAACGGCUCACCAAGGCGACGAUACAUAGCCGACCUGAGAGGGUGAUCGGCCACACUGGGACUGAGACACGGCCCAGACUCCUACGGGAGGCAGCAGUAGGGAAUCUUCGGCAAUGGGGGGAACCCUGACCGAGCAACGCCGCGUGAGUGAAGAAGGUUUUCGGAUCGUAAAGCUCUGUUGUAAGAGAAGAACGGGUGUGAGAGUGGAAAGUUCACACUGUGACGGUAUCUACCAAAA